GACGUAGGGCGCGAGCGUUGUCCGGAUUUAUUGGGCGUAAAGAGCUCGUAGGCGGCUUGUCGCGUCGAAUGUGAAAUCUCAGGGCUCAACUCUGACAUUGCAUUCGAUACGGGCAGGCUAGAGUUCGGUAGGGGAGACUGGAAUUCCUGGUGUAGCGGUGAAAUGCGCAGAUAUCAGGAGGAACACCGGUGGCGAAGGCGGGUCUCUGGGCCGACACUGACACUGAGAGACGAAAGCUAGGGGAGCGAAUGGG
rnacentral:rRNA from 1 species